rnacentral:rRNA from 1 species
AGUUUGAUCCUGGCUCAGGAUGAACGCUAGCGGCAGGCCUAAUACAUGCAAGUCGAACGAUACCAGGGAGCUUGCUCUCUGGGAAAGUGGCGCACGGGUGCGUAACGCGUAUGCAACCUACCUUUAUCAGGGGGAUAGCCUCUCGAAAGAGAGAUUAACACCGCAUAAAAUCAAAGAACGGCAUCGUUUAAUGAUCAAAUAUUUAUAGGAUAAAGAUGGGCAUGCGUGACAUUAGCUAGUUGGUGAGGUAAUGGCUCACCAAGGCGACGAUGUCUAGGGGAUCUGAGAGGAUGACCCCCCACACUGGUACUGAGACACGGACCAGACUCCUACGGGAGGCAGCAGUAAGGAAUAUUGGUCAAUGGAGGCAACUCUGAACCAGCCAUGCCGCGUGCAGGAAGACGGCCCUAUGGGUUGUAAACUGCUUUUAUUCGGGAAUAAACCCUUUUACGUGUAAGAGGUUGAAUGUACCGAAAGAAUAAGGAUCGGCUAACUCCGUG